rnacentral:lncRNA from 1 species
CCUCAGAAUUUUUUUCAAUCCAAUUUCUUCUCAGCUGAGGUCGUGAAAAAAAUGACUCCUAGCAUAUGAUAUUUUCCUUAAGGAAUUAGACAAAAACUUCCACGAUUUUGUGUAAAUCCGUUACAUAUCUUAUGAAUGGAUCUAUAUAGCUCCCACUUCACUUAUCCUAGCUUAGUUAUCAGCAUAAGCUUGUAAAAGUCAAAUCUUGCCCACAAAUGGAAAUAAUGGCAAAGAGAUCUAAGGAUAAUUUGGUCCACUUAGGAAGAACGGGAAGCAGAGGAAGAAAAACACUUGCUCUAAAAACAUUUUCACUUAGCAUGCACACACACACACACACACACACACACACACACCUCAAUAUUAUGACUUCUUGAAAAUGAGGGCAUCGGAGUCCAGAUAAAAGCUACAAUGCACUCUGCUGUUAAGAUCUUUUGUCAGUGGUACAUUCUGAAUAAAGAUUCUCUCUUGCCUUAAUGUAUGGGAAACCUGAACUUAUUUUCAAGACAAUGAGGUGAUCACUCAUAUCUUUGCAUUACUUCUAUUGUUUAUUGUUUUAAGUUUAUUUAUUUUUGAAAGACAGUGAGAGAGAGAGAGAGAGAACGAGUCAGGAAGGGGCAGAAAGAGAGGAGACAGGGAAUCCCAAGCAGGCUCCGCCUUGUCAGUGCAGAGCCCAAUGCAGGGCUCAAACUCACAAACCAUGAGGUCAUGACCUGAGCCAAAGUCAAGAGUCCCAGGCUUAACCAACUGAGCCACCCAACUGCCCCAACUAUAGUUUAAAUUUUAUUGCACACAUUGUAUAUGUUUGCAGAGUCAUUUAUUUGCAUGAAAGUCCCUCUGACUAUACCGUAAUUAUUUAAGGCAGGAAAAGCCCACUCAUCUUUUUAUCCCGUGUGUGAUACAAUGCUUGGCAAAUAUUAGAAGGGCUAGUAUGUCUAUCUAUUCCCUGGUUACAUUCCUCAAAUCUUGAGAGGUCCUACCUUCCAUAUCCCCAGCCACAUUCUCCAUCCAUCGUCACCAGCGUUCCUUCAUCACAGUGUUUUAGGAUAAAAAGAUAUCUAGCAGCAGUAUUAACCAUCUCUCUUUCCAGCGAUAGACAACUCUCUCCUAUGCCAAAUGCAGUCAUGUACACCACCCGUCCCAACUUUACACCUCCUUGUCCAACAAACCAGUAACAGGCAGUGAAAAAAUCCAGAAUGCUGAGGAACUCGAUGUGCAUCUUCUUGCCGGACAUUGGCUGAAAUACAAUUGGAAUAGACUCUCAACAUUGCUUUGCCUCCAAUCAGGGCAUGGAGAGAUCAAAGGCAGUCUACCACCUGUCUGUCUCUGAGAUAAAAACACAGUUAACAAUUUCCUAAACCCCAAGAGGAUAGCUGAGCAGGAUAGUGCCUCAGAUCUUGCCCAAGGCAAAAUCAGGAUUAUUCCAAAAAAUUUUCCCUUUUUUAGCACCUUUUUCCUUUGCACAAAGCUUUGAUCAAACUAGUUUUUAACUGAUGAUUUCAGCUUUUGAAGAUUCAAAAAAUUUCAAGACCCACUACACUGUUAAUAACAGUGUGUUAGGCCAGUGGGCUUUUCCUCAGAGGAGAGGGGUGUGCUCAGGAUCCUGAAGAUUAUACUGUUUGCAGUUGUCUACCCCACUUGUCACAAGUCCACCCUGAUAUGGCUGGGCUCACAUUAAGAAAAAUCCUGAAGACAAACAUAAUUCAUUUUGCUUUGAGAUCAGAGUCUGAAAGCUGUGGAAAGAAUUUCACAUUUUCCUCCAGGAAGGAAAAAAUUAUAGUCUGCUCAGUCUCCAAUCAAGCUUUUUUAUGACAUAUGGAACAACUAAGUUCUUUUUCCACAGAGGCCAGCUUUCAUUAAUCAAGUUUCUCAACUCCUAUAGAAGAAAGUCUACACAUAACUUAAACAAGUGGUUAAACCAAAAAUAUGAUGUGGUUUUUAUUUGGUUAAUCAAUGAUUUAAUAGUUUCUGCUGGAUUUUUUAGAACCAUAUUUAUUUUCAAUCUUCUUCAUCAACAGAAUUAGAUCUAUUACAUGGCCAAACUGACUGCACAAAAUUGCUCAUUAGAAAGACCCCCAAAAAAGAAAAACAAAGGAUGGAGGAAAAUCAAUGAAAUGCCAGCAUAAAGGCAGAGCCAUUGAUGUUAGGAAGCUCGAGGAAGUUUAUAUAUCAUACAGAAGUUUUUUCAAAAGCAUCCUUUUAAAAGGAGGAUAUUGAUUUUUUUUUUUUUGGACAAAAGCAGAUAGAUAUAUUUUCCCUAGGCCCACCCUAUGUAUUCUAAAAUUAUCUGAUUUAUGGUUUUUUAAUAUUCUUUUCUUGGUCUGUUAAUAUAGCCUCAUAAAUAAUACAAAAAACUCUGUGGCAAAUGCCUAUGGAGGCCAGGAAAAUGCUUCUCUGUAUUACCUUUGUUCUCUUUCUUCCUCAUUUGUUUGUGAUUGCCCCCCCCCUUCAUGUUUAGAACUUAAAAUAAAAAGGCAAAAUAACAACAACAACAACAACAACAACAACAGUAGCAGUAGAGCUACAGCAGAGGAUUGAGGAUAGGGAAGAAGAUCUAAAUCUCAGCAGAAGACACAUGGGCCAUGCAUUUUUAUUAUGCCUGUAUCAGGUGUGCAUUGAAUGCCCCAGCUUAGGGUGUAAUUUUACCACACACAAUUUUACCAAGCAAGACACUGCAUCUCUGCCGAGGUUGGACACAGGUAAGCUGAUCAUCUGUGGUGUCAAGGAAAAGUAAGCAUCACAUGACUUCGGUCUUGAUUCAUAUAUUUAAUAUCCAAAUUUGAACAGCAGAUAAGCAUUCAGACUUGAGAGUCCAUUUUCCUUUUAAACAGCAUAGACGCCAAUAGUGGUCGGUCAAGGUUACAUUUUUACACGUUUGGCAUCUGUCUUCAACUACAGCAUAUAAAUGCCCCAGACAAUGCACGCUUAAAAUUGACAGUAACAGAAUUUGGAGAGAGAGUAGUGAUUGUACCACUAGAUUAUAGAGGCCGGCUGCAUUCCAAAGAAUUUACAUUUGCUCAGCAUCUGGGAUAGUUUAAAGCUUAUAGAAAGUGGGAAUGGAUGUUGACAAAGAUAGAAUAAUACAAAUCAAGUUCAAAGGUAAUAUAAACAAACCCAUAUAACCAGUGACAUUUUAUGUGAAGAGAAGCCUUUAACAGGAAUAGUCAGAGGCAAGUGUGCACACCCUUUUGAAUGUCUAGACAUUUGGAAGGAAGGAAACUAACCAAGUGUUCCAAAGCCCUCUUUUGCACUGAUUGAAUCCGGCCACAAUGGCUCAGCCUCUGCCUUAAACAGAACAUCCCACGCUUCCUCCUCAUCCUCCGUGGUUACAUAACUUUCAGAGUUAAUAGUUUGGGUCAGGGGAGUUAUAGACAACACUUGACGCAUGUAUGACAACCAGAAGAGAGUCCAAUGAUCUUGAGCCUUAGCUAGGUGUUUCCUUCAUUCAGAAGCACCCUGUCUUUCCUGAACUAUCAGCCUUCAGGCGCUCCUACAGACAUCUCUACUGGAGAUGGCUGACCCAUACCAGUGAAACCUCACAGCCCUUAAUACUGAGCACAUUUGAAGGUAGUGAUUUCGCUUGAGUCUCUAUCAUCUUUGUUGACUUCUCCAUAGAGAUCUAAAACUAAUUUCUAGUGAAAAGAAUAUGGAGGACAUCUUUGGCUUUUUCUCUCCUUACCAGAUAGUUGGAUAGUGCUGAUGACUGAUUGAUGAAUGAUGUCCUUUCUUGGGCCAGUUUGAAGCCAUGUCUCCAGGGUCACCUUUAUCUAAGGGUCAAGAAUUAAAUUUGGGUCUUGAAAAGAAGAUGACGUAUUGGCAUAAAUGCACACAUUACAAAGAAACUGUAAGGACCUACUAUUAGUUAAUUAAAUUUAAAUAAAAUAGGAUAUAAUUUUAUAGUGACAGUUUUAAAUUCAAGUGCCACCAAGUGUUCCAAGAAUCUUCCACGACAGUGUCUACUGAGCAGAGAAUAAUGUUAACAACUAAGAAGAAAAAAAAAAAAAAAAAAAAAAAAAGACUGCCACGGUGGGUCAGACUCUCUUUUGCCAAAUUUUUUUGUUUUUCUGUCAAUAAGGGACUUUUUGCAAGAUGGCAGUUACUUCCUAAAAUCAACUCUCAAAGAUGAGGGAUGUGCCCCAAACAUAUAAUUUUCUGUAGUCAAAUGUGUAUGUUGUUAGGUUCUCCAGUGUCACUACUUAGAGCUUCAUGUUUCAUGAGUUUAUUGUGCCCAGUUAUAUCAUCAGUGUAGACAUACAGAGAAAACCAGUAAGAAUAAAUUCUAUUUCUGAGUCUAUGUUCACAGAUAACUCUGACUUCAUAGAGGGAAUGCUUGUCCAGCCUCUGGCAUUCUAGAAUCUCUUAUCCUCCACCUGGGGAACCAGGCUGCCUGGGGCUGAAACCUGGCUUUACCACUAGUAGUAGUAGCAGCAGCAUAGUGUGUGACUGUAUUUGUUAAAAUUCUCCAGAGAAACAGAGCCAACGGGAUGGAUGUGCAUGCAAUAUAAAGAGAUUUAUUUUAAAGCAUUAGCUUACACAAUUUUGGACACUUACAGAGUCCAAAAUCUGAUAAGGGAGGCUGGCAGGUUAGAGACUUAGGAAGGCAUUGCAGUUCAAGUCCAAAGGCAGUCUACUCACAUGCCAGGAAGAGCCAGUACUGUAGACGAAGUCUGAAGGCAGUCUGCUGGCAGCCUGGCCUUCUGGAAGAUCAGCUUUUGUUCCAUUUAGGCUUUCAAUUGAUGGGACGACGCCCAACCUUACGGAGGGUAACCUGUUCUACUCAAAGUCCACCAAUUUAAGUGUAAAUUUCAUCCAAAAACACCUUCACAGACAACAGUCAUGUUGGACCGAAUGUGUGGGCCCAGCCAAGGUGACACAUAGAAUAAACCCAACACAGUGACCUUAGGCCCAUUAUGCAACCACUUUGUGCCUCAGUAUGUUUGUCCAUAAAAUAGGAUUAAUUAAAGUUUGGGCAUAUACUUGAUAGGACGGCCGUGAGGAUUAAGUAGGUUGACUUUUAAGUGACGUAUAUAGAACAGCUCCUGGUACACAGUAGGCACUUCAUUACAGAUCAUUGGAAAAGAAAGGAAUUUUCGAGAUAUCACAUCCACUCUGAGAUCCAGAGAAGUGAAAUGACUUGGCCAAAAUUGCAGAGUGAGCUGACAUCAGAGGCUAGAUUAGGAUUCUAACGUCCUAAAUAGCAGUCCAGUGACUAGUGCGGACAGCUUUGCUGCUGCUUUCUUUGGCUGGGUAGGUGUUACAACAGUACAUCAGGUGAAGUGUAAUAUUACUAAAAUUUAAAACCCCUUCAUUUUUGAGAUGUUUUAAAAAUAAGUAGUUGGUAAUCACUAUUGCAGAAGUAUAUGUUCGGUUAUUUAUAUCUUCAGGUUAUUGAAAAAUACCUCUCUUGUCUACUGGAUGAUUCAUUGAACUUGAAAUUCCUUUAUGCUUCUGCUGUUCCACAUGAGUCAUUCGAUUCCUUUGAGACAAACUGAGCUAACGCUAACACCUGGUAUUUCCACAGAACCCGCCCUCUAAGGUUCAGUGAGAGUCAAGGGUACAGCUAAUUGAAAAGACUUGCAUGGUUUGAGUCGUUUUGUUUUUUCUUUCUUUCUUUCUUUCUUUCUUUCUUUCUUUCUUUCUUUCUUUCUUUCUUUCUUUCUUUCUUUCUUUCUUUCUUUCUUUCUUAGCGUCUGAUGUGCCUCCAUUCUGAGACAGCUGAGAAGAGCUCUCUCUGCAGAACUUUGUUUCCUUCCUGUCGCACAAAUUACUUGAUCUGAGAUUUUUUAUCAGUGCUUCUCAGAGCGAGGUAUGCCAAGAUCACCUGGACCGUAAUUACCCAGAGAGCUUCAUUAAAAACUACAGAUAACUGCUCAGCAUUACAGAACCACUGACUUUGAACCAGUCCAGCGGUUGUUGAAUCCAGAAACAAUGCAUUUUUUUUAUAAGUUCUUCAUGCCAAUUCUUCUGCCACAGAAGCUCGAGAAUUGCUGCUCUAGAUUAUCAUGAUCUUGCUAAUAAACACUGCAUUAUGGAAUUUUAAAGCUGCAAUAAUGUAAAGUUUCUAGGCUGAUCCAUCUCUACUUGUUUAAUUAUGUUGCAUUCUACAUUCCUUCUAGCUGAAAACAGUUUGACUCUUCUGCAUUAAUGAAGUGUGGCUGUGCUUACAUACUAUCUCCUGAUUUGAGCUGCUUGCUUAGUAAUUCUUGUUCGCUCUGCCUCAUAGGAGCUCCAGGAAACAUAGUGCUUGCUUUUAAUGCUGACUGUUAGCUUCCAUGGUUUAUUACGUUUACUGCUACAUUUUUAAUCACCCUCCUGUAUAAAAGUUUCCAUUUUCAAAGCACAUUAAAUCUCAACUGUAUUCUGGACGGAAGCCAUUCCCAUCCUUAAGAAAAGAUUUAGUAAAUGUCUACUUUUGAAGAAAUGAUUUGUAUCACGUGGAAAUAUACUUGUGCAGAUGUUGUUACUAAUCAUAUAAGCGUACAUUAUUAAGUCAAGGAAAUUAUGUAAACUUACAUCAUUGAAUCAAGGAAAGAGAUCAUUGCAUCCUAAGGUAAAAUUACACAGAACCAACUGGACUUGGUUCCUGACUCCUACCCAACCAGUUAUUGACAAUACUAAGAACAAUCAACACUGAGGGAAUGUUUACUACAUGGCAGCAGGCAGGGGGGGUGGGGUCAUGCUAAGUGUAUUCAUGCAUUUACUUAAUCCUCCAGUGACUCUGUAAAUUAGAUAAUUUUCUUUGUCUCCAUUGUUCAGAGGAGAAACUAGAGAUUAGAGAGGCCAUAUUUCUUUUCCAUAACCACGUAGCUUGUCAGGAUGAGAGCCAGAGUUUGAACAUGAACCAAUCCCACUGAAAAGCUCACGUUUUAACCCUGCCUCUGCUUCCUGUUUCUGCUCUGUUCUGUCUGACCUUAUUCAGAAAAAGAGACACCAGACAAAGAAAAACUGAGAUUUGGCCUUUGAGAAUAUAUCACUCUCAGUGGAUUUUUAAUGUUCUGCCUCUCCAAAAUUGGAAGCACACCAUUAACGUACUGCAGAGGAGUAGGGCACUGCCUGGGACCCAGCUGAACUAAGCGUUAGAAUAGCCCUAUUACUUGUUAAAUAUGUGACUCCGUGAAAAUCAUUUCAUUUCUUUGGGCAACAUUGAAUUCAUUGAUCAUAUAUUAACCAAGGGGGCUGGAAUCUCAUCUCUUCAAGCUACAGUCUACUGUGAUUUUGUAUAUUUUCACAGAACUUUAAAACGGGCAAAGAUCAUCUCGUCAGGAAUUGUUGGGUUGUAAGGGAUAGGUACUCGUUCAAGCUUGUUUAGGUAGAGGAAAUUUAUCAUAAAGAAAAUGGUUCAUCUUACAGAAACAAAGCUUGAGGGAUACAGACAAACUUCAGAAGCACUGAAAAGCCAUCAUUGUCUCCUGUCUCCUUUUUUCUGCAGUGGGUUCAGCCAUCUUCCAUUUCUAUGUUUUGCCCCUUCGCUAUUCUCCACCUCUGCAGAGUAGCUUCCUUCCUUGUUUUCUCACGGCCAAUGAAAGCUGCCCAGCCUGGUAGUUCCCGUCAUCACCCCACUUCAGCCUCUGGGUUUAAAUUCCAAAUUUCAAGAUGACAGCAUAUCUAACUGGCUGGGUGUGGGUCACAUGUCCGGGACUGACUGAAUUUUCUGGCCCAAAUGGAUAGGAUGCGAUUGUUUGAUACUUGACACUGUCCAUUCAAGCAAAUGAUUUCAGUGAUUUAUGCAGAAAUUAUACAGCCUUUUUGAGAAAUUUAGAAUGAAUCUUCAAUGGAUUUUAUAGACAUGGUUCAACCUAGGAAAAUCAACCGCAUUUUUGAGUUACUUCCUCUCAUCCUCAUUUUGUGUCUCUUGAUCCUAUUUUGUUCUUAUUCUUUGUCAGUGCCCUUGUGUCACCCUCCACCCCAGUCUUUUCCAGUCUCCCUGGUUUCUUUGUUUCCUCUGUUUAUAAAAUUUCUCAUCUCUUUGAGGUACUGCAGGCAGAUUUUCAAGGUAGAAGCAAAACAAAUCUAAUCAAGUAAUUCCUACCUAGAGUCAAAGUAAAUACAUUGCCAUUAUUUACUGAGUGAUUGUUAUGUGCCAAACACAGUGCUAAGCCCUUCACAUAUACAUUUCAUUCACUGCUCACUAUAGAGCCACCAAAUAAACAUUAUUAACUUAUUUUUCCAUCUGAGAAAAUUGAGGUUCUGUGUAGUUAAGUAGCUUAUGCAAGCUCACAUAGCUAGUAAAUAUACCAGCUGGGAUUCAGAUCUAGCCUCCGGAGCCUGAACUACUGUGGCCACGGCUGCUGUGGUCAUGAUAUGGCAUUCAAGGGUGUGCUGCAGCUGGCUCAUACUGACUCACAAGAGCCAAGUGGUAGGCUUCCCAGAAUUUUGAGAGCCAGCUAUUAAACACAGCCAUUACGAAAAUUUAAAUUACAAAAACUUACAGUCAAAUUAAACAAAGGUAAUAAAUACUGAACACUCAUCACUUUCUAAUUAUUUUACUAUGCUUUACCAUUACAUACGCACUUUAGUAUCUUUACAUCUGUUGUAUGUGUCUGAUGGAAAUGCUGUAUAAUGCUGUGCUCCCGCACACCUCCUGCCAACUCUGCGUCCUGGAAUGCCAUGUUGGUGGCUUGAAAUCAGACAUUGUAAGAGUAUUUAUGCUACAGACUUGACAAAUGCCGCAUCUGAAUGCACUGACGUUUUUUUAAAUGAAUAAAUAGACAGCUGUGUGGCCUACACAAAAUCCAUCUGAAGGCUGAAUGGGCCACCAGUUUUUGACCUUUUCUUUAAAGAAAUGCAUCUCUAAUGGGUGAAUCAUAAACGUCCCUGCCAGAGCACUCUCUUGAGAGUGGGUAUCUGACAUGACCACACAUCUGCUCUUUCAUGAUCGCCUUCAGGAACCACCAAAAGUUUAUUGUCCAGACAAAAAAGAAGGAAUUAAAUUAUCCCUAGCCAAUGACUCCCUGUUACCUAAACUGAGGAAUUUCUUUUUAAGUUUAUUCAUUUUGAGAGAGAGAGAGAGAGAGAGAGAGAGAAGACAAGUGGGGAAGGAGCAGAGAGAGAAGGAGAGAGAGAGCAUCCCAAGCAAGCUCUACAUUGUCAGCACAGAGCCCAAUGAGCGGCUCGAUCUCAUGAACCGUGAGAUCGUGGCCUGAGCUGAAAUCAAGAGUUGGACACUUAACCGAUCGAGCCACCCAGGGGUCCCUAAACUGAGGACUUCUUAAGGCCUGGCUGAAGUGUCCUGUCCUGCACAGCCAGGUAUUUGGAUUGGCACAUGUGGAGCCACCACAGUCUCUGUGAAUAGCUGGCUGGCUUGGCUAGCUUCCUGGACUGACGCACUCGUGCGUGAGCAGAGGACGGCUAACCCAGAGAUUAAAUUAAAGUGCAGUGGCACUUUUUUUUUCAUUCCGCCUUUGCAUCUGUGUUAGACUUUGUGUAUUCAUUUGUUCUUCUUUCUAGGUCAAUGGGAAGCCAGGGAGAAGAGGGUCUUGCAGCUGGAGGAGAUAAACAUGUGAUGGAGUAUAUGGGUGGUCAUUUAAUGCUGCUUUCUGGGAUGAAAUAAAUGAUGCUGGUUUCUUGUGUUGUCUGUAUAAGUAGCAAUUAUCCUUCUCUCUUUGACUGAAGCAGUUAUUUUUGGUAAAAAAGCUUUUAAGUCUUUUGACUAAGAACAUUUUGGGUACCCUGUGGUUGGUUAGCUAUGUUUAGAUCACUUGCUCUGUGACCUUGGACAAAUCUCCCAUCCUUUCCACUCUAUUUUGUUAAGCUGAGAAUGUUAGAGUGAUGUGUCUAUAACUAGAUAAUGGACAUAAAGAGGUUUUUAAAAUCUUUGAACUUCUAGAAAACUAUCUAAAUUCUUCAAUGUAGAUUCCUAUUUGUUUAAACAAUUACCCCCCAUUUAUCACUAUUUUAUGCUUUGGAUACUGCAUUAUAUCCAUAAUGUACCUAAAAUUUUAGUGCAGGAACCACAUCCUUAGUUUCCUAAAUGUUUUUAUGUUCUGAUUAUCCGUCCCUGUCCAAGUUACAGAAUAGUGUUUGAAGUACGAACCUCUGGAGCGUGUUUCCCUUUUGUGGAUUUCUAGAAAGAGAUUUUUGCUUCAGCUUGCCAGAUGAGUUUAAUCAGCAAGAGGAGUUUAUGGAAUACUUUAUUUAUUUUCAUUAUAAUGUCAGUAUGAUUCGCUGUGAGGAAGAAUCAAGGGAAUCUUAAUUUUCCCGCCCUGUCGAGCCAACCACGAGAGUCUACAUGAAAUGACAAUUGCCAUCCUCACAUCUCCAGAAGCUGUGUAUAGUCAGAAGCAAGUAAUGAGAGAGACUAUAAAUACAAAUGAAAAUAAUCUCUUUUUUUGCCAUUCACUUAACCAGCUCUCUGGAAUAACUUCAGCUCUCCAUUCACCCAGCAAAAUACAAUGCCAUAGCAUGCCGCCUGCUCACAGCUAGCUUGCCACCCUCUAGGACACCUGCAGCCAAGUACUGUGCUGUCUAACCAUGUUUGUUCCACAUAUGUCAGUAGUACUUGUUAUUAAAAUCGCAUAAAUUUUUAAGUCAAUAAAAUAUGGGGGCAUAAAGAGAGAUGUGGGGUUUUUUUUUUGUAUGAAAAUGAAAUUGAUUGCUUUAAUAUUUGUUUAUUUUGAGAGAGAGAGAGAGAGCAUGAGAUGGGGAGGAGCAGAGAGAGGGAGAGAAUCCUACACAGGCUCUGUGCUGUCAACGCAGAGCCAGAUGUGGGGCUCAAACUCACAAGCUGUGAGUUAAUGACUUGAGCCGAAAUCAAGAGUCAGACACUUAACCGACUGAGCCACCCACGUGGCCCUUAUAAAGACUUUUAAAUAUAAAUAAUUAUUAACAAAUUAAGUAUUGCAAAAAAAAACCUUAAAAAAUUAAAGGGGACAAUCACAGAAAUUUAGGAGGAUUUUGCACUCAUGAUAUUUGGAAGAUUUUUGCUUCACUUUAAAUCAAAACUUGGGAGGGAAACAUCUAGGUGGCUCAGUUGGUUAAACAUCCAACUCUUGAUUUCAGCUCAGGUCAUGAUCUUGUGGUUUGUGAGCUCAAAACCCAUGUUGGGCUCUGCACUGACAGCACAGGGCCUGCUUGGGAUUCUCUUUCUCCAUCUCUCACUCUCUGCCCCUCCCUCUCUCUCUUUCUCAAAAUAAAUAAAAUAUAUAUUUAAAUAAAUCAAAACUGGGAACCAUGGGGGAUGCAUUACAGAUGUGUUAUAUGAAAGAAAGAUGCUGUAAAAUUCUGUUAGCAUACUCUCAAUUUAAAAAAUGGCCCUAUAUCAAAAGUUUGAUGAAUUAAUGUAUAGUUUUUAAGUUUGAUAUUGGAAUAUUUAUGAAAUAUAUCUAUCAUUACUAUGAGUUUUCCUCUAAGCAUCUUUUUUUUUUCUUUUGUAGUUGAUUGACCAUUCAACUACUGGUCUUGAUCUCAUCAGACUAAAGAACUAUUAUCAAAAAUUUGGAAGAAACUGAAAUCAGUUAGUUUUCAAAUAGUUUGGGUGUUGGCCUAAAAUUAUUUGUAUGAUUUUUAUCACUACAGAGGAGCAAAGCAACAUUCUGGAUAGAGAAAAAACACAAAAAUAGUAGAAGAAUGCAAAAUUCAGGACAUAAGAGGUAAAAUCCAUGUAGAAGUAUAAAGAGAGGAGAAGAAAAGACUGAGAAGAACAUUUAGAAAAAUCUUGGAGGAGCUUGGGGGUCUGAUUUUAGGUAGUAGACAAUAUUGAGCCAUUGACUAAUUUUGAUCAAGACAGUGAAAUUAUAAAAAUAGUAUCUUAAAGAGAUUUUUGUGGUAACAGUGCACAGAAUGAGAUGAAGCCUUCAUGACGAAUAUAUUUUUUUUCCUGGGUGCGAACUCAGAUAACUGGUAUUGUUUCCUGGAACGCUAUGAUGAGGAAUACAAGGAUGAGGCUGGCUUCAAUGGGAAGAGUUUUGUUUUCUGUUGGUGAUGCUUGACGGGCAAGGGGAAAGAGGCUUCAGUUACUAGGCCCUUUAUUUGUUGGCUCUGGGUCAGAUUGAGGGCAAAGAUAGUGGAUGUAGUUAUGCCACUGCAACAGCAUGAGAGAUAACAAGGAGGGUGUGAGAGAUAUUUUGAAAAUAUUGAUUUGGUUAUAUGGGUAAAAUUGUCUUGUAAGUGGAAUUAAAAGAAUAUUUUUCAGUCAAGCAAGAUGGUUUGCCUUAUUAUUGACUGAAGGAAAUAAGGAAAUCAUUAAAAUAUAGCCAUAAAGAGUACAUAAUUUACAUUAAGACAGAAUUCUGUUCAAAAUCUAGACCUGUCAUUUGCUAGCCAAAUAAUUUGAGAUAUCCAAAGUAUUGAAAUUAUAGGAAGCAUUUAAAGCAGUAGCAUACUGUCUGUCCCAAAAUAAGUGCCCAGGAAAUAAUAUUUAUUAUGUUUAGAGCAUUGCCAAUGAAAAUCUGGCUUCAAAAAUAUUUUACUAAUUUUUAUCUCAUUACAUACUGCCUUAAAAAUAAAAAUCCGUAAAGUUCUAAUAGUUAGGAUUUUCUAGCCUCUUAUCCCCAAAAUGAAACUGAACUGACUCUAGAUAAAAAGUAAAUUAUAAUCCAUAUUUCCAGGUCUUUGGAAAAGCGACACUAUUUGUUCUUUUUUUUAUAAGAAACUAGAAAUUACAAAAUCCCCCUCUGUCUGGACCAAUAUUUGCCCACCAUUUAUGGAAAUGAUCAAAAGCUUUGUAAAUGAGGGAUUAUCAUAGCUAUGAAGCUCUGAUCUGAACUGCAAAAUGUUGCUGCACUGAUAUAUAGCCAUUGCAAUAAAUUUUUCCUCCUAUCUCUGCCCAGUGGGCAGUGAUUUCUUGGCAAUGCACAUGAAAACACUGGGCAUCCAUUCACAGGAUUUCCUGAUUUGUUUGUGAGAAGUUGUGAUGUUCAUUUGCAAUCAGGUUUUGGCAAACUCUUGGCAGAGAAUUUCUUUAUAAAAAAGUACAGAGCUCUUCAUUUGGCAGAACUCUUUAAUAUGUAGGUUUGUAUUUCCUGUCUUCUAGUUUCCUUAAAAAAAUGUUGUAGAAACACAUACAUACCCAUUCAUUAAGCACUUUGAAGCAGCAAUCUGUGUAUUUCCAAACAAAACAUUGCUUUACCAGCAUGGUUGAUUGUCUCAAAUAAAGUCUCCUUUCUGCGGAAUUCUAUCAAGUGAAAUUUGAGACUCAAAGCCAAAAAAGUAGGUUUUGUCUAGCUAUAUAGUUUGGUACUUAUGGCAGAGAAAGACAUGAACCAAUUUUAACCCAAGGGAAAUAUCAUGAGUCUUCAUAUUAUUAUAUCCAGCUUUCCUAUGUUGCAUGGAGAAACCUGUUCAGGGUCUGAAUAUCCUAGAAAUGAUUUCUUUUCAAAGCCUAUUCCUUACCUACAAGCUUUUCCUCUGAAUCCACUUGGAAAUGGUGAACUUUUGGUUGCAAUGUAAAAGUAAUAAAGCUGUGAUACAUGAAACAUAAGUUAUUUACAGCAAUGCUGAAUCAUUGUGAUUAUCUCUAUUACUGUUGAUUAUUCAAAUACAGCCAAUUCUAAGUCUGCAUGUGUUAAAAGACAAAAAAGUCUGACAUAUGAAAUGCUAUCACAUGGAAUGAAGUAUCAGUAAACUGGCUUAAAAAUGAUGUCCAUUCAUGACAUGAAAAUUUGAGAAACUUUCUGCCUUUACAAUGUGAACAGAAGGAAAUCCCAACAUGGGAUGUUUCAUUCUAAGUCUUCUGUUCCCAGCUUUUCAAAGGACCCAGAAAUUGCACCCAGCAAAGAUACCCUGUCAAAAUGAUUUAAAAGGAGGAAAGAAAGUUGCUAGAGGGGAAUUCAUACUGCAGAUCAAAAAAACAAUUUUAAGUAGUCUUCUCCGGUGGCCUAUGUUGAGACAUAUAACAGCCCAGACGACUGUUUUUCCAAGAGGUUAAAUUUCAAAAGGAGGAAACAACAGCAAACAGACUGCCAGUUCACUGAACAAUGUCACAACUGGCUGGAGAUGUGUUCAAAGUAAAACCACUGAUUUACAAAUUCCUGGAUCUAACAUGCUCUUAAAUAUUAGCACUUCUCGGGAAACUUUAGAGCUUGUGUGUCACAUUUAUGACUCUGGACAGACAAGGAUCUGUCCAAACACACUGGUCCUCGUGACAAUUCUUUGCCCUGUAAUUAAGCCCCACUGGGGGAAGCCACGGUGAACUCAACCUUUGAUGCCGGGAGCAGCUCCUGGUGCCAAAGGACACAGACUAGAGUUAAUACUCCAUGCAUUUCUGUAUGGUGUAGGUUGAAGGGGGAUGUUUACAGCACAACUCCAAAACAGUAAUCGUAGCAGAUAGAAUAUUACAUUUUCUUUUUAUCAGACACAAAGAGCUGGUUUGGGAAGGCGAGCUGACUAGAUUAUAGUUUAAUUUCCCUUGGAUCCUUUGCACAAGUGGGAAGCUGAGAGCUGGUGGUGGAAACAGUAGAGAAACCACCUUAAGAUGUUGGAGAAGAGGGUGGGGGAGGUGCUGCCGACCGGGACUCCUGGAAGGAAGAUGUGUUUGAAGAGGAAGGAGGAACACAGAAAUAGAAGUGAGUGUUGAACAGCCAGUAAUUCUAACAUUUUCGAGAGGUGUAACAGGCUUUAGGCAUCCAUUAUACCUCAGGCAAUGCUUCCUUCCUGAAAGUAGAAAUUUCUCCAACUUACUCAGCUGUAAGCAGGGUCCAAGAAUCCAAUCACAAAAAAAAUUGUAAGUAGGCCCAGUGAAGAUUUCAGGAUGGGAUAUAUGAAACCAUUAAAUGUAUUUUUUAAGACGAGAAACAGUAAUCCUGAAAUGUAUACACCUUUAACUGGAAAAGUACUUAAGUUGUUAUAUAAAACUAUGUACACAAACACCUAGAAAACCAUAAGACAUUGCAUGAAAAGCUGCAUGACAAUUAAUUGUACUAUAUACAUUCGUUUUAUGUCCUUAUGUUUUAAUUCAUGUCUACCUAUCUUAUCUAUCUAUCUGUCCAUCUAUCCAUCCAUCCAUCAUCUCUACCUAGUUAUCCUUGGAAAAGGAAAUGCUGUGAGAACAAUAUAUUAGGGGAAAAGAGAAUGUUAAUCAUAAUUAUAGUCUGAAGUUUCUAUAACACCAAAGAAUGUUUUUUAAUAAGUCUCUAUUAUUCAUCCAGAGAUAAAAACAUAUACAGUGAUAGAGCACAAGUCAACACAUUAUUACUAUGUUAUGUCCACUUUCUAUAAGUAGUAAAGUAAUAAUAAAAUUUACUGAGUGUUUCUCGCCUGCCAGUAUCUAUGCUGAGCACUUUGCACAUAUCAUUCAAUCCUUAUAAGAAACCUAAGGAGACAGCCCAUUAUUUUCCCCAUUUUCAGCUUACAAGACUGAGGCUUAGAAGAACAAGUUGGCCAAAGCCCACUAAGCAGAGUCAUGUGUAAUGUUUCAGGGAAUGAAUAAUGCGGCUCUAGAUUAAUCCAAAUUGGUUUAAUAAUUAGUGAUGCCAUAAAUGGUUUACUUUAUAUUGUCUAAGGAAGAGGUCUUAUGGAAGUUAGAUAAGGUUUAAAAAAACAAAAUGCUUUAGGAAGCAGCCAAGCAGGACAGAGAGCUCAUGAGCUUUGGGAAACAGAUGACCUGGGUUUCUCUUCUGGCUCUAUCACUUACUAGCUGCAUGAACUUUAGCAAUUUAUUGAUAUAUUAGAAAGUGAUUACUUCAAAUCUUACCAAAUGAAUGUAUAACUUUAACAUUUGCUUGACUGAGUUCCUUUGGUUCUUUAUGUAGGUACUGGCCAAUGGUAAUUCUAGAACUAGUUUUAUUUUCCAGAAAUACACAGAGCUAUAAAUCCAUUUUUUUUCAUUUUUUAAUAGCAAACAGGUAUUUUUUUAGCUAUAAAGCAAUAUUUCCCAGCUGUCAUAUCAUCAUGACACACCAGAAGUACUUAGGUUAUUGUCCAUAGCUAGAUAUAAUUCCUUAUAAUAUAAGGAAUAUAAUAUAAGGGUUAUGAUAAGGGAAACUUGAACUUUCAAGAUAGUGUCUCAUGAAGGAUGGUUUACAUUUUAAACAUCAAUAUUCACCAGCAAAAUCAAAUCACAGCAGUCCCGAAACUAAGUUUUGGGUUACUUCUCAUAUACUGUGUAUUCAAUUUUAAUAGAAUGUCACCUCAUGUAUCAUUUUUUUAUUUAAAGAAUUGUCACUCCCAUUUCAUUGGUCCCAUAAAGAACUUAGAAAGUGUUAUUUUAAAAGUGCCUGUUUAUACUGAAAAGACAAAUGUGUUUGUUCUUCACCACAGCUUAGCGAUGUAGACCUUACCAACAAGUGACAAUGUGCUGUGUUAGUUAUUUCAACAUAAACAGUUAUGUUCAAAAGGUGAGGCACGGGAAUCUGCAUUUUUAACAAAUGCCCCAGGUAAUUCUCAGACAUACCCCAAAUUGAAACUGCUGGACUAGGAGGUAGAAUUUCUGUUUGGAGGAUACUUCUGUAAGUUACUUUUCUAGUAUUCCUUCCCCUUCUCAGGGUACCUACCCGCUUUCACCCUGUGCCUAAAGGGUCUGAAUCCCACAGGCCCAACUACCGGUCAUGGUGAAUUAGAACAGAGAUGUUCCCUGGAACCAAAAUGGGCCCUGGAGCCGCUCUCUCUGGUGAAUUGUCAUUCAGACCCAGACACUAGUUAACCUCUGCUGGGUCCUGAGAAGUAAUAGAAAGCAUUCACUUGGUUAAAGACUAAGUUUCUAGCUGCGAAGUUGGAACUAAAAUAUUCAAGUAGACAGAUAGCUGAAGAUA